UGCAGUCGAACGAUGAUCUCCCGCUUGCGGGGGUGAUUAGUGGCGAACGGGUGAGUAAUACGUGAGUAACCUGCCCCUGACUCUGGGAUAAGCCUGGGAAACCGGGUCUAAUACUGGAUACGACCCUCCGUCGCAUGGUGGGGGGUGGAAAGGGUUUGACUGGUUUUGGAUGGGCUCACGGCCUAUCAGCUUGUUGGUGGGGUAAUGGCUCACCAAGGCGACGACGGGUAGCCGGCCUGAGAGGGUGACCGGCCACACUGGGACUGAGACACGGCCCAGACUCCUACGGGAGGCAGCAGUGGGGAAUAUUGCACAAUGGGCGGAAGCCUGAUGCAGCGACGCCGCGUGAGGGAUGACGGCCUUCGGGUUGUAAACCUCUUUCAGCAGGGAAGAAGCCACAAGUGACGGUACCUGCAGAAGAAGCGCCGGCUAACUACGUGCCAGCAGCCGCGGUAAUACGUAGGGCGCAAGCGUUGUCCGGAAUUAUUGGGCGUAAAGAGCUCGUAGGCGGUUUGUCGCGUCUGCUGUGAAAGCCCGGGGCUCAACCCCGGGUCUGCAGUGGGUACGGGCAGACUAGAGUGCAGUAGGGGAGACUGGAAUUCCUGGUGUAGCGGUGAAAUGCGCAGAUAUCAGGAGGAACACCGAUGGCGAAGGCAGGUCUCUGGGCUGUUACUGACGCUGAGGAGCGAAAGCAUGGGGAGCGAACAGGAUUAGAUACCCUGGUAGUCCAUGCCGUAAACGUUGGGCACUAGGUGUGGGGGACAUUCCACGUUCUCCGCGCCGUAGCUAACGCAUUAAGUG
rnacentral:rRNA from 2 species